AUUUUUCAAACCAUUGAAAAGACGGACCGGUGAAUGCACCGAUUACUCUGCGACACGUUGUUUCAUCAUUCCAGUUAUUCGUGGCUCUACAUUGUUCAACAUUCAUGAGCCAUCUUUGAAUUUUUUCUGGAUGAGCAUCGUCAAAGGCAAGGAGCUUCAUGCCACCCACCGUUUUAUCGCUGUCCUUUUCCACAAAUUUCGCUAAAAGUUCAACAACGCUUUCUUGUGUGCCGUUUCCCUUGGAAUUUGACUUUCUGACGAUGAACGCAGCAUGGUCUGACCCUCCGAGAAUUCGACUCGUGAUUCCUGUCUGGGUCUCCGCAAAAUACCAGCUGGAUUACUGCCAGUAGGUAACGGUUGUUCAACGGAUGAUGAGAAAUUCUGUGGAUUGAAGAGUGAAAAUUGCGGAGGACAUAGCACAUCUCCCGUCGCUACAGGGGGUUCCCUUUGAAAAUGUCUUUCAUUGCCACUAUGAGUGACGCCCGGAUUUCGAAAUCGGAGUAGCUCCUCGGCCGCCUGUUUAAGAUCAUCUUCCAUUUUGUCAACAGACCCUGCAAUCUCUCAAUUUCCUUUUGGGACGCAUCAUCCUUUUCCUUGGGAAUAUGCAUCGGGCCGACUGAAGACUUAUUGUUCAACUGAACUCUCGCUUGUGUGAGUUCACGCUGUAGAGAGUCUUCCGCAUCUUUAGCCCGCUUCUUUUCGUCAUCCAAAUCUUUGAUGCGAUGAGCGUGCGGAGACUUUGGAUUAAUACGGGCAUAGUUUGCCGGACUAUCAAGCCCACAUCCUGGUCAGUUUCUGCCGCAGCUAACUGCUCGUCAACUUCCCUAGCUUGAAUCCUUCAGAAAUAUCCGCUUUAUCCGCAGCCGACAAUGCUAUCAAGUUAUUGUCCGACUGGGAAGACUGAGGUUCUGUUUGGCUCUCAGCCACACUUGGAGUUUCCGAUAUGGGUUCAUCCAGUAUCGCACCGGAUGCCUGGGCUGGAAUUCUCUCCUUGGCACCGCGCGUGACGCGCUCAUUUGCUGCCUGUUUUUUGGGAGUUUUUCCAGUUGCUUUUGACGCUGUGAGUGCGGCUUGAGCCGCCUCUCUGCGUCUAUUCAAAUCUUCCGUAUAUUCUGGCAGCCACCUGUUUGCAUCCUGCAAGGCAGCUUUAAACUGCUCAUCAGUAAUGUCCAGGUGGAAGGCGGACAGUCAGCAUCCAGUACGUACAUCCGGCGUAUGAUCCUACUCCCAUACGUCAAAGUAUAAUAUUACUACCGGAAUCUUGAACAUUUUUACAUUAGAUAAAGGUGUUAUACUUUUUAUUCGGCAGCCG